rnacentral:rRNA from 1 species
ACCAGACUCCUACGGGAGGCAGCAGUGGGGAAUAUUGGGUAAUGGGCGCAAGCCUGACCCAGCAACGCCGCGUGAAGGAAGAAGGCUUUCGGGUUGUAAACUUCUUUUAAGAGGGAAGAGCAGAAGACGGUACCUCUUGAAUAAGCCACGGCUAACUACGUGCCAGCAGCCGCGGUAAUACGUAGGUGGCAAGCGUUGUCCGGAUUUACUGGGUGUAAAGGGCGUGUAGCCGGGCCGGCAAGUCAGAUGUGAAAUCCGGGGGCUCAACCCCCGAACUGCAUUUGAAACUGUAGGUCUUGAGUAUCGGAGAGGCAGGCGGAAUUCCUAGUGUAGCGGUGAAAUGCGUAGAUAUUAGGAGGAACACCAGUGGCGAAGGCGGCCUGCUGGACGACAACUGACGGUGAGGCGCGAAAGCGUGGGGAGCAAACAGGAUUAGAUACCCUUGUA